GUCCACGCCCUAAACGAUGAAUACUCGAUGUUAGCGAUAUACAGUUAGCGUCAAAGCGAAAGCGUUAAGUAUUCCACCUGGGGAGUACGCCCGCAAGGGUGAAACUCAAAGGAAUUGACGGGGGCCCGCACAAGCGGAGGAGCAUGUGGUUUAAUUCGAUGAUACGCGAGGAACCUUACCCGGGCUUGAAAGUUAGUGAAUGGAUCAGAGAUGAUUCAGUGAGCAAUCACACGAAACUAGGUGCUGCAUGGCUGUCGU
rnacentral:rRNA from 1 species